rnacentral:tRNA from 3 species
GGAAGAUUACUCAAGUGGUUAAGAGAACAGGUUGCUAACCUUGUAGGCGUGUGAAAGCGUGCGGGGGUUCGAGUCCCUCAUCUUCCG